UCGUCAGCUCGUGUCGUGAGAUGUUGGGUUAAGUCCCGCAACGAGCGCAACCCUUGACUUUAGUUGCCAGCAUUUCGGAUGGGCACUCUAGAGUGACUGCCGGUGACAAACCGGAGGAAGGCGGGGAUGACGUCAAAUCAUCAUGCCCCUUAUGACCUGGGCUACACACGUACUACAAUGGCCGGUACAGAGGGCUGCGAAGCCGCGAGGUGGAGCCAAUCCCAGAAAGCCGGUCUCAGUUCGGAUUGCAGGCUGCAACUCGCCUGCAUGAAGUCGGAAUUGCUAGUAAUCGCGGAUCAGCAUGCCGCGGUGAAUACGUUCCCGGGUCUUGUACACACCGCCCGUCACACCACGAGAGUUUAUAACACCCGAAGUCGGUGAGGUAACCGCAAGGAGCCAGCCGCCGAAGGUGGGAUAGAUGAUUGGGGUGAAGUUAUAACAAGGUAGCCGUA
rnacentral:rRNA from 1 species